CGGGAGAGAAACGCGUAGGAAUCUGCCUGGUAGUGGGGGACAACAUGUGGAAACGCAUGCUAAUACCGCAUACGCCCUACGGGGGAAAGGAGGGGAUCUUCGGACCUUUCGCUAUCAGAUGAGCCUGCGUGAGAUUAGCUAGUUGGUGGGGUAAAGGCUCACCAAGGCGACGAUCUCUAGCUGGUCUGAGAGGAUGAUCAGCCACACUGGGACUGAGACACGGCCCAGACUCCUACGGGAGGCAGCAGUGGGGAAUAUUGGACAAUGGGCGCAAGCCUGAUCCAGCCAUGCCGCGUGUGUGAAGAAGGCC
rnacentral:rRNA from 1 species